GGAAGUAGCAAGUCCCGCUUUUCACCAAUUUAGAAAAUUUGGAAAAAAAAGAAGAGAAGAAGAUAUUGGAACUCAUGUGGUCGAGACUUACGUAAGUCUCGCCAAAUGUGAUUCAAGCAUCUUUCUUCUCUUCUUUUUUUUUAGUAUUUUUAAUAUUUUCGUCGUAAUAUCGUCGUUAGUUUACGACUCGUUUACGACGAUUUUGGCUUACGUGGAAUUAGCGUGCCCCGCUUUCUUUAUUUUUUUAAGUCUACGAGGUUUUUACGACGAUUUACCUUACGAAGUCUUUACGACGAAAUCAUCCUACGUGGAAUUAACGGGUUUUGCUUUCUUUAUUUUUUUUACUUUCGUCGUUAUUUCCACGUAAGCUAACGAGUUCUUUACGACGAUUCUGUCCUACGUGGAAUAAAC
rnacentral:lncRNA from 1 species